UACGUAGGGCGCAAGCGUUGUCCGGAAUUAUUGGGCGUAAAGAGCUCGUAGGCGGUUUGUCGACGUCUGCUGUGAAAACUCGGGGCUUAACUCCGGGCCUGCAGUGGGUACGGGCAGACUAGAGUCCGGAAUGGGCGAGUGGAAUUCCUGGUGUAGCGGUGAAAUGCGCAGAUAUCAGGAGGAACACCAAUGGCGAAGGCAGCUCGCUGGGACGUGACUGACGCUGAGACGCGAAAGCGUGGGGAGCAAACAGG
rnacentral:rRNA from 1 species